GUAAGAGAAGCUGGGACUGAAAUGGGGAAUGAGAGGAGCAUAGAGUGAGAGGCUCAGGGGGAGAGAUGGGAGAGUGAGAGGCACAGGGGUGAGAUAGAAGUAGAGGUGGAAAGGGUAGCAGGGAGUGAGAGGUGUAGGGCUUAAGUAAAGGAGAGAAAGAUUUAGGUGAUCAGACAUAAAGGUAUAUAGGGAACACGGGUUGCCUAGGAUGAAGAUUUGGACACGAGGAGAGUGACAGACAAAGAAAACAAGAAAUAAGAAAGGACAUAUGGAAGACAUAGAGUAACGGAUGCAAAAUGGGUUUCAGUACAGAUUCGACUUUAGGGAAAAGAAAGAAGUCACAGGAUGCUAGGUCUGGUGGGACAAUGGGUCGUACACGUGAUGUGACGGAGUGGCAAAAGGGAAGUUGUUUUUGGCCGAGAGCAUGGCCAUAGCCUGGAGGAGGUGGUGGCGUUUAUUGGUGUGCCUUCAAAGACAGCAAGAGAGUGAGAACAGAGGCACUGUGAAAGAACAGCAACACUUUAUAACAAUUAUCACUUAAUUACAAAUUUAUUGGAGCAAGCACAAUUCUCCCCGAAACCGAUGAUGUCACAUGCUAUUGCUUUAUUGCGAUUCAUUCCUCUAUAUUGGAAUGUACAACAAAGAGGAAGGAGGACAACACUGUACCAUCAGAUUACUUCUGCUGACGUGGCUCUUGAGAAGAGACUGUACAGAUAAUUGAAAAAUGUUGGCUGCCUUUUCAAAUCAUGCAUGCGGCAAACCCUUAUACAAGGAUGCGAGCGUGCAGCCACAGUAGUGAGCCGGAGCAGCUGCAGAAAGGAGGCGGGAAUCUCUGCUGACAGGAGGAGCCCCUACCUG